AAGCAAACACAUUCUAGUACUCUCAUCCUCGCUCAAAUAUGAAGACAUUUCUUGUACUAUGCUUUCUCUUGGCUUUCAUAAUCUUCCUUCCUUCCGACAUAAAAGCUCGACAAUUAUCUCAUACUGUGGAACAUGAUAGAGCUUCUGUACCACCAUCUGGCUGCAACCCUAGUGUUGUAACCGGCCAGAAUUGCGGGCCUAAACUUGCACCGCCUCCAAUACGACGUGGGGCUCAAAGUCCAUAGCCACUGCAUGAAGAAGAAACAUCUGGUUUCAAUAAUGAAUGUGCUGAAGAAAUGAUAGUAUUUGAAGAAUAAGUUGGUUAUGGAGAAAUUGCUGCAGCUUUGUUGUAUUUUUCCUUUCCUUGCUGUAAAACUUGCUUUCCAGGAAUAAUUAUUAGCAUCUCUAUGGAUGUUAGAAGA